GUUGGUGAACCAGCGGAGGGAUCAUUACCGAGUUCUUACAGAACCCAACCCUUGUGUGAUAAGCUCUCACCCAGCUUUUACACGGGAGUCUCGGCCUAAUCGCCGAGGCAGUGUAAAAAAACAACCUCUGUAUCAUUAUCACAAAUUUCUGAAGACUUUUACAAAAAGAGUCAAAACUUUCAACAACGGAUCUCUUGGUUCUGGCAUCGAUGAAGAACGCAGCAUCUGACUGACUAAGAUUCGGCGCAUC
rnacentral:misc_RNA from 1 species